rnacentral:rRNA from 1 species
CCCUUAGAUGUUCUGGGCCGCACGCGCGCUACACUGACUACUUCAACGAGUUGUUUCCUUGAUCGAAAGGUCUGGGUAAUCUUUGAAAGGUAGUCGUGAUGGGGAUAGAUCCUUGCAAUUUUUGAUCUUCAACGAGGAAUUCCUAGUAAACGCAAGUCAUCAGCUUGCAUUGAUUACGUCCCUGCCCUUUGUACACACCGCCCGUCGCACCUACCGAUUGAAUGGUCCGGUGAAUCUUUAGGACUGUGGCUGAGGCCUUACCUUGUGCGGGUCUGGCCGUGGGAAUUUAGUUAAACCUUACCAUUUAGAGGAAGGUGAAGUCGUAACA